rnacentral:rRNA from 1 species
CAUGUAGGCGGCUUAAUAAGUCGAGCGUGAAAAUGCGGGGCUCAACCCCGUAUGGCGCUGGAAACUGUUAGGCUUGAGUGCAGGAGAGGAAAGGGGAAUUCCCAGUGUAGCGGUGAAAUGCGUAGAUAUUGGGAGGAACACCAGUGGCGAGGGCGCCUUUCUGGGCUGUGUCUGACGCUGAGAUGCGAAAGCCAGGGUAGCGAACG